CGAUAACCGCAUCAGGUCUCCAAGGUGAGUAGCUUCUGGCCAUUGAGUAAUGGUAAUUUAGGGAAUUCGGCCAAUUAGAGCUGUAACUUCGGGAUAAAGCUUGGCUCUGAUGGAAAUCAGAACCGAUAGUUACAAGGAGAGCCCAACUGUUUAAUAAAAACUUAGUGUCGCGUCAUACCUUUAUAAGUAAUAAACGUGACAUGAAUCCUGCUCAGUGCUGUGUUUGUUAAACUGGAUUAAUCCAUUUAAGCGCCGGUAAAUAGCUGGGGUAACUAUGACUCUUAUCAAAGUAGCGAAAUACCUCGUCACUUAAUUAGUGACCUGCAUGAACGGAGCUAUGAGGUUCUCACUGUCCCAAAUUAUCACUCAGCGAACCAACAGUUGUGGGAACGGGCACAAAUUAUCCAGCGGGGAAAGAAGACCCUGUAGAGCUUCACUUUGGUCUAAUCUUGUAUAGUUUCGUUAGGGGUGCAGUCUAGGUGGGAGAUUUUUAAUCAAAUAUGAGAAACCACUACCCUUUCUGGAAUUAUACUUACUAAAAUUCUUUUCUAAAUUUUAGGAUCGGAUUAGAUAGAAAGUUUGGCUGGGGCGGCACACCUUCGAAAAAGCAGCGAAGGUGUCCUAAGUUAAGCUCAGUAAGGACAGAAAUCUUACGUUGAGGAUAAGGCCAAAAGCUUAAUUUACUGUGCCUUUUUGUACUAGGAUCAGUUUGGAAACAAAGGCCUAACGAUCCCUAAUUAGUCUUAGGUGUGUAAGACUUGGGGUGACAGACAAGUUACCUCCGGGACAACUGGCUUGUGGCUGCUAAGAGAUCAAAUCAACGCAGCUUUUUGAUUCUUCGAUGUCGGCUCUUCCUAUCCUAGUGAUGUACAAGUCACUAAGGGUUGGAUUGUUCACCCGUAUUAGGGAUCGUGAGCUGGGUUUAGACCGUCGUGAGCCAGGUUUGUUUUAUCCUACUGGAUAUAAUUUAGCAUCUUGAUAGUAGUUUGAUUUAGUACGAGAGGAACUGUUGAAUAUGGUCUCUGGUUUGGGAAUUUUAUGAAAAUAAAAGUUCCAAAGCUACGCCGUCUGAGAUAAUGGCUGAAGGCCUCUUAAGCCAGAAACUCAUCUAAAAAUAGAUGCUUUAAACUAUUUAAAAGAAUUAAAUUUAAAAUAUUUUUUUUAUUAAAAUUUGU
rnacentral:rRNA from 1 species